GGUCUAUUUUGUUGGUUUGCACGCCGAAGUAAUGAUUAACAGGGACGGUUGGGGUUCUUUGUAUUCAAUUGUCAGAGGUGAAAUUCUUGGAUUUAUGGAAGACAAACUGCUGCGAAAGCGUCGAACAAGGACGUUCUCAUUAAUCAAGAACGAAAGUUAGGGGAUCGAAGAUGAUUAGAUACCAUCGUAGUCUUAACCAUAAACUAUGCCGAUUCAGGAUUGGCGGUCGUUUGUUCUCGACUCCGUCAGCACUGUAUGAGAAAUCAAAAUCUUUGGGUUCCGGGGGGAGUAUGG
rnacentral:rRNA from 1 species